rnacentral:rRNA from 1 species
UUCCGGUUGAUCCUGCCGGACCUUACUGCUAUCGGGAUGAGAUUAAGCCAUGCAAGUCGUGCGUUCUUAAGCUAUGUUGAGAGCGCGGCGAACUGCUCCGUAACACGUAGUUAACCUAACCUUGGGAUGGGGAUAACCCCGGGAAACUGGGAUUAAUACCCAAUAGAUGAUUAUACCUGGAAUGGCUUAUCAUCGAAAGAGUCUGGGAACAUGCUUCCAGCGUCGCCCAAGGAUGGGACUGCGUCCGAUCAGGUUGUUGGUGGGGUAACGGCUCACCAAGCCUAUAACCGGUACGGGCCCUGAGAGGGGGAGCCCGGAGAUGGAAACUGAGAAAAUGUUCCAGGCCCUACGGGGUGCAGCAGGCGCGAAACCUCCACAAUGCGCGAAAGCGUGAUGGGGUUAUCCCGAGUGCCGUCCGAUGAGGAUGGCUUUUCAUCGGUGUAAGGAUCCGAUGGAAUAAAGGGGGGGCAAGACUGGUGUCAGCCGCCGCGGUAAUACCAGCCCCCUGAGUGGUAGGGACGGUUAUUUGGCCUAAAGCGUUCGUAGCCGGCUUAUCAGGUCUUUUGUUAAAUCCAGCGAUUCAAUCGUUGGGCCGCAAAAGAUACUGUUAUGCUAGAGGACGGGAGAGGUCGACGGUAGUCCAGGGGUAGGGGUGAAAUCCUAUAAUCCUUGGAGGACCACCAGUGGCGAAGGCGGUCGACUAGAACGUGCCUGACGGUGAGGGACGAAAGCUGGGGGAGCGAACCGGAUUAGAUACCCGGGUAGUCCCAGCCGUAAACGAUGCGGGCUAGGUGUUGGGGCAGCCACGAGCUGCUCCAGUGCCGCAGAGAAGUUGUUAAGCCUGCCGCCUGGGGGAGUACGGCGCAAGGCUGAAACUUAAAGGAAUUGGCGGGGAGCACACAAGGGGUGAAGGCUGCGGUUUAAUUGACUCAACGC